rnacentral:misc_RNA from 1 species
UAUGUGGCUCAAGAAAGGAAUGGAUGCACAUCGUUUUCAGAAUAUGGGUAAGUUGAUGUGUGUGUGUAUGUUGGAUGUAUAAGGGUGAUUGAAGUUGUAAGCUUAGAGAUUAAACUUCACUACUAGCUAUUUUUACUUAAUUUCAUGUCGCCAACUCAUGCGGCGAAUAAUUGAAAAUGUACUUGAUUGAUUUAAUAUGGCCCCGCAAUAGGUGUAGACUAACACAACUAGCAUAUAGACGUGUACGGUUACAUAAAUGAAGAGAAUGCACCAUCCCAAAUAUUUUUAUCAUAUAUACAUUCAAAUCUACUAAUGAAUCCAUUGUAAAUCGAGCAAUUUUCCUAGGUGAGUCUUCCAGGGACUACAGGCCCUGUUCUUCAAUACAAGAUCAGGUGGUAAAUUUCAAACACAAGCUUCCAAAAAUUACACAUAUCAACUGAAUCAGAGUUAACGACAGCUAUAAUCUGACUUUUAGAUGCAUGCCUUCACCACAUAUCUGAAGUGCAAACUUUUACCACAUCAUCAGGAAGAAUUGGAGCCUCCAAUCUCUUGCACGUUUGAGGAUUAUUCAAAUAUUUGUCUGGAUUUGGUGUAUUCAUAAGGGUUUUGAAGGGAACUGUAUUUUUAAGCAGGAAGAAAAAAUGAAUCCAUUACAUUCCUGUUACAUGUGAUCACAAUUCUAUUACAUUUUCCAUUUAACACAUGUUAGUUUAAGUAUCAAAGGAUAUGUUUUCUAAUAUGAUUCAAUAAUUCUCUUUUUGCCCAACUAGUUUUUAUAUCAUCUGCAAUGUCUAGACUACAAAGCUCUCUCUGGGGUUAAGGAAUGAAUUUAUUUUGGCAUAUUGGUUUGCCUGAAUGCAUGCAGACUCAGAAUCUUGAUUGAAAAUUAAAUCAUAUUAACAUAACUAUAAUGAUUCAGUUCAUUUUCUUGAUGAAAGCUGUUUCGGAACGUUUCUGUGAGGCAUAGCAAUACAAGAGGGGUGUGGCAAUAAUUUACCUGCACAAACUCAAAGAAAAUGCCAAAAUAUUACAAUUAUGUCAGCCCCGUUGCAGCUCUGCAAUAAACAAGAAGAUUAUGGGUUGGGUCUUUCCUCAGAAAAUCUUGGAAGUUGAACAAGGGAGUUCACUCUUGUGACGCCUUCCAAACCUGACCAACUCUGAUCUUCACCAGCAACUGUUUCUCCACUUCCAUCAACUUCAGCCCCUAGUUUUCCAUAAUUAUCGUUUUCUUCUGAUGAUCUCACAGUAAAAUUCCUUUGCAAACAUGGCUCAGACUUCUGGCCAUCAUCUGAUUCAAUUGCAUUACCAGAAUGAUUGCUCUGCAGGGUUGCAGAAGAAAAGCACUGUUCCUCAUAAUCAGAUUCUGAGUCCAUUUUCCCAUCCAAAAAUAAACAAACCACUGCACAGUCAUCCAUUUUUGAAGUUGGGUAUUUGAGCUUCCAUUCUCGAGCAGCCGAGUCCACCAGGAUUCUCGCAGCUGAUGACCUCGUUGGAGCUGAUGACACAAUCUCAACCACCUCUUCAUUGCUCAAAACAUCCCAAACCUGUAGUAACAAUAAUCUAGCACUCGGUAAAAACAGAGAGUAUAUAAGCAUGCUACAAGAUAUACUAGGUUUCAGGUGAAUCGCAAUAUAUCCUGGUGGAUUACUUUAUUCUGAUAAAUAGGAAUUUAAAUAUCAAGGCAAACCUCCUCAAUCCCAUCCAUAGUCCAGUCAGGAUUUACAGCAUACAUACAAUUAUCAGACAGAAUUUGGUCUUGUUAUGAAGCAGAUCAAGACAGGGCUAUCAUGGCCUUUUCAAUGGAAACACAAAACAUAACAAAGCCUAAAGAAACUUAAUCUUGUAAACCACAUUCACCAAGCAGGGUCUAAGGAAUAAGAAGGAUUUCUACUCAUAGAAAACAGAUGAGAAGGUCUCUUCUAAUCUGUGUAGCUAUAUUUAACCUUAACCAAAAUCUGAAGAUGCAUCAUGAAGUUCUUUACGUCUCCUGAAUCUUUUCUGACAAUGCCAUGUCUUUCGAAAACAUGUUAUGCUAAAAUAACCAUUAUAGGGACAGCUAUUAUCUUGAGGUCCUAUAACAAUCCUUGUUUUUUCAUUGCUUACAAAUGAUUGGUUCUAGAAUUAUUAUCUCUAAUAUUGUGUGACUCUCCAACAUUUAUUACAUUUACUAUGAUGUGCUCUGAAUGGCCUACCCAACAUUUCUUUGUUCCACCACAACCAAGAUCAUCUUCUUAGUCAAAAUUUUUCCUUGGGUUUGAUUUUUUAUGAAGAAAGAUCAGAUCAGCAACAUCAACUAGACAUUCAUGAGUGACAAACAUACAAAACUCUUUAACAUCAAAAAUUUGACUCGGCAUCAUAGCAGCAUUUUUCUGAUACCUAUCAUGGAAUACUUAUCAUGUCUAUCUAUUUGGUAUUUCGGUUUGAAGAUAAUAUCAUCAAAAUCCCUGUUCCUCGAAAAACAAGCCACCAUAAAAAUCCAUCAACCACAUUGAACUUCAGUUUAUAUGCCUCAAAGAAAGUGAUAUGGCUUGAUAUAAAAUCUACAAAAAAAUAUUUUAUUCACUGCCAUGAUAUUAGCACAACUUAUAUUCUUAGUUCACAGAUAACAGAACAUAGCUCAAAGAAAUUCACUUGGUAGUCAACAGGCCUUAAUUACAGUACAUUGACCCUCAGAAAUUUUCAUAUUGAAAAGUUUUUAUUGGCUGUGAUUUUAAUAAAAUAAAAGAAAAUUAGAUUCUCAUCAACAAAAAGAAAAUGAAAUAAUAGGGGAAAAAUUUAGAGAUGAAAAUCAUACCCCAUCUGAGGCAAGAACAAUGAAUUGAUCUUUCUCUGUAAGUAGGCGGUGAGAGAACUCAGGUAUGGAGAUCACCCCAUAUUCCUUCAAACAAAAGUCCCCAAAUGCCCGUGCCAUUGCUAGGCCAGGGGCAUCAUCAAAUGGCAACCAAACUCUUGGUACUUCAGGUUCAUCUUGCAAUGCAAAGACUCUACCUUUACACCGUUUAAUCCUUUCUGCUUCCCCUGUAACAAUUUGGAUUCACAUAAACUGUUGCGCUCAGGCAUAGUAUCAAACCACCGAAAGAUCCAAUUAUAUAUUGUGACCUACUUGGCAAAUCAGGUUUCAGAUCAACAGUCAACUGGAUUGCAACCAUAGAAUCAUUGUUAUCCUUAGAUCCCAUGAUUGCACGAGAAUCCCCAAUAUAUCCCAUGAAAAGAUUGGAGCCCUGUUUUACCAUAGUGACAGCAGUGCUACCACUACAGAAGCAGUCCAAAUUAGGAUGGGAUCUCAGCUCUUUGUCCAUAGCCUUGUAGGACUUGAGGAAUGCUUCUCUCCAUACAGAAUUCAGUUUAUCCUCCAUGGACCCAUCCUUCUCAGAAUCUCCAAUUUCUGAUUUCUUUGAGUUCCCCUUAAAACAGGUUUGACCUGUCCCAUUUUGCCUCGACUGAUUAGAGUGCAAGAAUGACAGUAACUUCAUUGGCAGGGCAUCCCUCACCUUGCGGGCAACAAGAUGGCCAUGUGGACCAUGGCCAUCAAAGACACCACAAAAAGUCACAUCUUCUGAUAAGAAAUCUUCCCAUACGAUCAUCGCAUCCUGGUUUAUGCCCUUGCGACCCUGCUGUGUGAAUAUACAAGAAGUUCGGCUCUUUCCAUUAGUGAAAAUCCUGUUAGGUAUAGAGGGUAAAUGCUGCAGUGUGACUACGUGGUCGGAGAAUGUUCUUUUAGUUUUCUUUUGCCCGCAAAAUCCAAUCCCCAAGCAUGGGGGGGGAACAGUAUCUGCAUUGCUCCUCCUACUACUACAAGUACUUUGGCUACUAGUCGAGACACAAGCCCCCAUUUGUUCAACAGCAGAAAGAACAAGGCAUCUGCACUGUGAUUAAUGGACAAGAUUCCUCCUUUUGACAGAACAGAUCUCACAUUAAACUCCAAAUUUUGCUAGAAUAGUCAACCAAGAAAAAGACUAUCCAAACACCAAAGAUUCCCACCACUGAAACCAUAGGUCACUUUACACCUCAAACCUCGAUACAGAAAACUGGGAUCUUUUAAUCUUAGUCAAUUACAAUCUGGUGGGGAUUACGUUAAUCGACAAUGAAACCAGCUGAACAAAAACAAUAAGCCAAAAGUUAAUUGAAUUUUUUAUUACAUAUUUUGCUAUAACGCAGAAAUGGCUGCAAGCAUUGAAAACUCCCAACAAAUCAAAUAAAACAAAUUUAAAAAUCUUCCAUGUGACCUUAGAAUAUAAUAUGCUUAAAAGGUUGUCCUAAUCCUUUGUUCUCAUGAGGAAUCACACUGACACACCAGUUGAAGAGACAUUAAUAUGUAAUUUAAUCCACAAACUACCAAUUAAAAAUUGAAGCCAACAAAGAAAAGGAAAAACAGGAGCAUAUAAAUCAAAGACACACCAGGAAACAUGAAACCUGUCCUCCUUUCAAACAAUGAAAGCAUUAGAAAUAAAUUUUAUCAACAACUUUCCACAGCUCAUAAAAUGCUUCUAUACAUAGAAAACAUAAAGAUGCCAAUGAGAUCUAUAAUUAAAAUGAUCUUUUUCCCCAAGGAGAGGAAUGCAAAACAACAACCUUCCUCUAAAUAUUAAUGUUGGGAGGCAUAUUAAAAACAAAAUAAAGCAAGGAAUAUGCAUGGAUGAUUCUCAAAUUCUUACCUUUAUAUUGAGUUCCACAAAGAGAGCCACACAGAAGAGGUUAAAACAAAGAACAAAGAAAAAGUAUAUCUGUGUCCCAACACGUUGUUUCAAAUCAUCCCCAUAAAAAAGACAGAAAUCUCUCUUUGGUUCCACAGAAAAUGCUGGAAAAUAGAGCAAACAACACAUCUAUGAUCAGAUUUUUCAAGUUUCAAAAUUUUGCUGAAGCCAUAAAGGAAAAGAAACCCAUGUAAAGAAAUUUGAAACUUAGACCAUCCCAUAAAAAAAGUAAAAACAUUCCAUACUUCUAAAAGUAUGCUCUACAAGAGAGAGAGAGAGAGAGAGA